UAGAGGGCGGGACUCGAACUGAAAGGAACAAGGCGCGGCCAAGAACCCCUUCACACGUGUAGACAAAGAGACCAUCAACACAACCCAAACACGCAGGGAAAGUUUCCCAGGACCUCGCGAAGCGCCCAGGCCAGCAUGCACGGGUCUGCGAGUGCUGGGUAACUUCUGCUUUCAACGGACGCCCUUUGAAGGAUUUAUUUAAUUAUUAUUUUUCGCUGUGGAAUAUUAUUACUGUCCUUCGGGAUUAUUGGACUAUUCAUAAUGAGAAUGAUUGCUUUCAACGUAUGACACCAUGGACAAACAAAAGAAUCAGAUCGGAUCUGCUGCAGCGGUGACGAGAGGAACAGGAUGAUUCGCUCAGCAAGUGUCCUUGUCUUCUUCCUCUUCACAAGAUUGUUCAGCUCGACUAAUGUUUUUGUGGGGUCACGGUUUGCGUUAACAUCUCCACUUGGACUUCUGAUCUCUCUUUGGUGGGUUAGGUGUAGUUCUAGUUUUAACAAGACAAAUAUACAGUAUAUUGUGUUUUCAUAGAGCAGCCCAGUGUUGUGCCGCACAUGUGAUAUUACAGUAUUUCAGAUGUUUUAUUAUUUUCCAGUAAUAUUUAGAAUCAAAGGUAGUGAUGCCUGAUUAGAAAACAAAUUAGAGUUUGAGUCAGUUCUUAUCAAUGAAUCAAUCACACAGGUGAAUUCCUUCUGAAUCAUUCGGACAGUUCAACUCACUGAGUUGUUCUGAGUGUUUCUCAUGUGAUGCAAACUCUUUACCUUUCGCUGAAAAUUCACCUUUAUGAGAUCAAAAUAGGUCACCUAUGACA